GACGAACGCUGGCGGCGUGCUUAACACAUGCAAGUCGAACGGAGUGGCGAACGGGUGAGUAACACGUGGGUGAUUUGCCUUGCACUCUGGGAUAAGCUUGGGAAACUGCGUCUAAUACCGGAUAGUUCAAGCUGAGCUCCCGGCCUAUCAGCUUGUUGGUGGGGUAAUGGCCUACCAAGGCGUCGACGGGUAGCCGGCCUGAGAGGGUGUACGGCGACCUUGGGACUGAGAUACGGCCCAGACUACUACUGGAGGAAGCAGUGGGGAAUAUUGCACAAUGGGCGGAGGCCUGAUGCAGCGACGCCGCGUGGGGGAUGACGGCCUUCGGGUUGUAAGAUCCUUUCGACAAGGACGCGGUACCUGUAUAAGAAGCACCGGCUAACUACGUGCCAGCAGCCGCGGUAAUUC
rnacentral:rRNA from 1 species